AUCACAAAGCAAACGCUCCAUGUUGGUCUGUGAGUUUAUGCAAAGCAAUAACCAACCUUCUCUACAGCAAACACAAAAUAGCCUGGGAAGUUCUUCUUGGUCACAAAGCAGCACAAAUUGCCCUCCUGGGCCAAAUCCUGUUGUUCAAGGGAUCCAAGAGUAACUCCAAGAGUGCCCUAAGCACCUACAGCCUGUACCCCAACUGAGCACUCAGAUGGGACCCAAGCAAAGGAAACCAGAUCAAGAAAAUAGCCCAAAGCAUUGCACAGAACCAGGAGAGAAGCCAGUGUCGGCAUAACAGCUGAAAAUUUACUGACACCAGAGUAGGAGUGUCCUGUAAGCCCCUGGUGGUCGUUGCCACAGGUUCAGGAGGAGACCCAUGCACCAAAUAACCUAAGACACAACUGGGCCUGCAGAGCAAAUAAUACACACCAACCCCUGGAUUACCAAAAAUGCGCUGAACAGGUGAAGGAGCUGGAGCGUGGUGCUCGUUGGCAAGGGCAGGUAGGCAGUGCACUUCCAGGACAUCCCCUGGAUCAAAACGGUGUGCAUCUCAUCCUUCUCACCCCUCCACCCCAGAACCAGGCCUUGACCUCCUGCUCAGAGUGGGAUUUUCCCAGUUACAGCAUCAGCUCACUCACGGCUGGCGUGAGAGAUGAGGCCACCAUGGCUCACCAUAUUCCAUGACUCCCUGCCAACAAGGGCUCCAUUAUGCAUUGUUCCCCUUUCAAAGCUUGACUGCCCAUCAAUUGGUCAAUAUAUUGUUUCUUUUUCAAGGGUGUCCUGGGUUGACUACAUGAUGCUUGUAUCUCCAGUCAUCUGUUCUGUGUAUGCUGAAUAAUAAGUUUUGCACCUUUAAGACUUGUUCCAAGAGUGAAGGGGGUGAGAAGAAGCAUGGAGUUUCUUUUCAGAAACUGCACUCACUCCUCCACAUUCCUGCUCCUGGACUGUGCUCUCUGUGGAUGGACAGAUGGCAUGACAGAGCUCUUCUUUGCUUUUAGUUAUUUUCAUCUAGCUGAGGCAAAGAGUUCCCUGGACUGUGGGCUUUUUAAAAAUUUUUUUCCUUUUCUUUGGAUCUGUUUGAACCUGCUCCAGACAGAACACCAGAAGAGCAGCGGCAGCUCACACAUGCCACCCACUGGGCUGUGGCAUUUCCAGCGACAGAGGGACUGAUUAGAGACUGAGUGAGCUUAGCUACGGCCACGGAAGAGACUUUCUGAGUUUGUCUCUCUUUUGGAGCAGCAAGAGAUUUUAUUGAUUAAUAUUGUUUAGGUUUUAUUGUUUAAUAAACAGUUUUUUACAUGUUUC